rnacentral:rRNA from 1 species
AGCAGUGGGGAAUUUUGGACAAUGGGCGAAAGCCUGAUCCAGCAAUGCCGCGUGCAGGAUGAAGGCCUUCGGGUUGUAAACUGCUUUUGUACGGAACGAAACGGUUCUUUCUAAUAAAGAGGGCUAAUGACGGUACCGUAAGAAUAAGCACCGGCUAACUACGUGCCAGCAGCCGCGGUAAUACGUAGGGUGCAAGCGUUAAUCGGAAUUACUGGGCGUAAAGCGUGCGCAGGCGGUUAUGUAAGACAGUUGUGAAAUCCCCGGGCUCAACCUGGGAAUUGCAUCUGUGACUGCAUAGCUAGAGUACGGUAGAGGGGGAUGGAAUUCCGCGUGUAGCAGUGAAAUGCGUAGAUAUGCGGAGGAACACCGAUGGCGAAAGCAAUCCCCUGGACCUGUACUGACGCUCAUG